rnacentral:rRNA from 1 species
GACGAACGCUGGCGGCGUGCUUAACACAUGCAAGUCGAACGGUAAGGCCCUUCGGGGUACACGAGUGGCGAACGGGUGAGUAGCACGUGGGUGAUCUGCCCUGCACUUCGGGAUAAGCCUGGGAAACUGGGUCUAAUACCGGAUAGGACUCCGGACUGCAUGGUCUGGGGUGGAAAGCUUUUGCGGUGUGGGAUGGGCCCGCGGCCUAUCAGCUUGUUGGUGGGGUGAUGGCCUACCAAGGCGACGACGGGUAGCCGGCCUGAGAGGGUGACCGGCCACACUGGGACUGAGAUACGGCCCAGACUCCUACGGGAGGCAGCAGUGGGGAAUAUUGCACAAUGGGCGCAAGCCUGAUGCAGCGACGCCGCGUGAGGGAUGACGGCCUUCGGGUUGUAAACCUCUUUCAGCACAGACGAAGCGCAAGUGACGGUAUGUGCAGAAGAAGGACCGGCCAACUACGUGCCAGCAGCCGCCGUAA